rnacentral:lncRNA from 1 species
CAACAGAUCUGAACAGGUACUGUACUGUGGAGAGAGAGAGAGACAAAGGGAGGGAGAGAGAUGGAGAGAGAGUAGUUUAGUCCUGAUCCAGAACUAAACUACUGAACAAUCAAGCACAAGACACCAUGGUACACAAAGCUUUCACUAUUUCAUCCUGGAAUAUACAAGGCCUGAGGUCAACUGCCUUUGGUCUGAAAAGCAGAAACCUAGACUUCAUCAAUGAAAUCCGAAAUACAGACAUUGUCAUCCUCCAAGAUACCUGGUGUAGAGGAGAUGGUCCCACUGGCUGCCAGUGGCGGCGCCAGAAAUAAUUUGUUGCAGUUGCUUAACAGUUGCUGUAUGAAUUCAAGAGGUUGCUGGUCAAAAAAAAAAACCUUGAUCAAAACACCUGAAUUUGGCAGAGGCACGGCCGGGAAGACAUUUUCGGCACGGGUUGGGGUGGUUGCGGUCCCGUACGAGAUAUAAAGACGUAAAGACAUAGAACAAUAUAGAGGAAGAUCUUUAAGAAGGCCAACAUGAAAAUAGCCCAGCGGCAUGUACACAUUCACUGCUAGUCCCGAGCCCUGUACCACGAAGCUCGCUUAGAGGGUUAGCGAGGUAUGUUGAGCUCCAAGCCUGGGUUAGUUGUACCACGAAAGUUGAUCUCUUUUAGCGUCGCUGUAUCACCAUGGUGACUUAUGCUCGCAACCAAACCUGGUCGGGAGCAGUUUUUCGGCUUAGUCUAGCCGGAGAUCGGCUACUUAAAUCGGCGUGCGCAGCUUCCUAGCCCCUCCUCUGACAAUGGCGUCACCAUUUGUGGGUGUUCCCGUGGACCCCGGCGCACUUCUCCGGAGACAAGGGUUUUACGGGACAGAACCGAUCCCUUGGCAUUGUCUGACGAUAUUCAGAUUUCAGACUUUAUUGUCAUUGUGCAAACAACGAAAUUGGGGUUCUUCAUGAGAGAUACAGAGUUCUCAUCAGAGGAUGGUAUUUGAUCGUCCUUUUGGACCUUAUGUAGACAAUGAUUACUGUUGCGCAUUGUGUCUCAGUGACAGAGUGUUAGAGUGGAGGUAGCGCGUCAGUCUUGAAUUUUUGCGCGGGGGGUUCGACUCCCAAGUGACGCGAAUUUAUGUGAAGCUUAAAAAGUCCUAAUUCUCAUGCAUAUGGAAUACUUAUUCACUAAAGCUUAUGGAAUUAUAUUUUUGUGCUUAUUUCGAACUUGAACCCAUAUUUUCAAGGCCGUGCUGGCACCACAUAUAUGGGGGUAAAAUGCAUGAUGAUAGACCGGCGAAUUUGAACCCCGGUCGCUGGCGUUCGGGUCUUAUACUAAUCCACUACGCUACAGCCGCUACCUCUCAGCGGUCGAAAACAUACGAUACAUUUCUUAAAUAGGGUGUAUUUAAAGUGAAUUCCCUAAAUGAUAGAGUAAGGCAGGCUGGACGUUGCUUAUGCAUUUUUAAAUCAUCAUCAUUCUAUUUGGAUUAAUGGCGAACAAUUCUGCAUUUGCCAUAGUUAUUUUACAGACAAU